AGAUAGUAUAUCGGAUCUUCUAUAGGCUCCAGGUGAUGAGGAGAUACGAUAUAGGGUGCAGAUAGUAUAUCGGAUCUUCUAUAGGCUCCAGGUGAUACGAUAUAGGGCGCAGAUAGUAUAUCGGAUCUUCUAUAGGCUCCAGGUGAUGAGGAGAUACGAUAUAGGGCGCAGAUAGUAUAUCGGAUCUUCUAUAGGCUCCAGGUGAUGAGGAGAUACGAUAUAGGGCGCAGAUAGUAUAUCGGAUCUUCUAUAGGCUCCAGGUGAUGAGGAGAUACGAUAUAGGGUGCAGAUAGUAUACCGGAUCUUCUAUAGGCUCCAGGUGAUGAGGAGAUACGAUAUAGGGUGCAGACAGUAUAUCAGAUCUUCUAUAGGCUCCAGGUGAUGAGGAGAUACGAUAUAGGGUGCAGAUAGUAUAUAGGAUCUUCUAUAGGCUCCAGAUGAUGAGGAGAUACGAUAUAGGGUGCAGAUAGUAUAUCAGAUCUUCUAUAGGCUCCAGGUGAUGAGGAGAUAAGAUAUAGGGUGCAGAU